ACUACCCAUUUCACACCGCUGUUCCAAGUUCUGGGAACACACCACCCAGUGAUAGCAAUGCCUCAGCCCAUGCCUCGACUCAUUUACCUGCAAUGUGAGCCAACAGAUAGACCAACACUUCAAAGUUAUGACAGAAAGUUGAGUGGGGUCCUGUGGGAAAGGAUGGAGCUCUCUCUACCGGGUUGGUCACCAGGCUGAACAAGGAGAAACAUGGCAACCAUUGGACUGGUUUUGAUGAUCUCUCAAAACCAAGGCUUCAGUUUCCAAGAACGACCUACGGUAGCAUAACUAGUGUGUGUCACACAUGCCACUAAGUGUGUUUCCACUCACACAUUUUAAUUGGAGAACUACUUCCUAUGAGGUGCCAGGAGCCAGACUCAGCCUACAGCUCUCUUCUGCUCGCCUGGAGGUGAAACAAGGUGUCAUGAUUAGUCAAAUCCCGGUCUUCACUCAUCAAGGUGGGGUCCUGUGGGAAAGGAUGGAGCUCUCUCUACCGGGUUGGUCACCAGGCUGAACAAGGAGAAACAUGGCAACCAUUGGACUGGUUUUGAUGAUCUCUCAAAACCAAGGCUUCAGUUUCCAAGAACGACCUACGGUAGCAUAACUAGUGUGUGUCACACAUGCCACUAAGUGUGUUUCCACUCACACAUUUUAAUUGGAGAACUACUUCCUAUGAGGAGAGAAAAGUUUCACUGAAGGCAGGUGUAGUUCAGCCAAGCCCUACAGCACAGAAGUUGGAAUGUGCCAGGAGCCAGACUCAGCCUACAGCUCUCUUCUGCUCGCCUGGAGGUGAAACAAGGUGUCAUGAUUAGUCAAAUCCCGGUCUUCACUCAUCAAGGUGGGGUCCUGUGGGAAAGGAUGGAGCUCUCUCUACCGGGUUGGUCACCAGGCUGAACAAGGAGAAACAUGGCAACCAUUGGACUGGUUUUGAUGAUCUCUCAAAACCAAGGCUUCAGUUUCCAAGAACGACCUACGGUAGCAUAACUAGUGUGUGUCACACAUGCCACUAAGUGUGUUUCCACUCACACAUUUUAAUUGGAGAACUACUUCCUAUGAGGUGCCAGGAGCCAGACUCAGCCUACAGCUCUCUUCUGCUCGCCUGGAGGUGAAACAAGGUGUCAUGAUUAGUCAAAUCCCGGUCUUCACUCAUCAAGAUACCCAAAGCCCCUUGCCUUUGGGGAGGCGGAUUUGAGACCUAUUGUCACGUCACGUCCUCGCUUGGCUGCCCUGUGAAUAAACCUCCUCUUUGCUGCAACCCUC